rnacentral:lncRNA from 1 species
UAAUGACGAUAAUGACAGCUUUUAACUUGUUUUAUGAACCAAAGUGUCCUUGUCGUAACUUCUUUUUCAGAUGUGUCUGUUGCUUUUUUUUCAGGCCUGCGCAGUAGUUACUCAUGCAGCAUCUGCAGCGUAGUUCUCAACUCCAUCGAGCAGUACCAUGCACACCUCCAGGGCUCCAAGCACCAGAACAACCUAAAGCAACACCAGCAGUAAGAACGUCCAUGGAAAGAGGGGAUGAAGAUGACGAGUUUUGCUGGACUUGUUCAAAAGUGAUGCACAAAAACUUUACCGUGUCUCAGGAGGGGGAGACCGGUGUGAUAAGCCUGUCUGCCAGCUGACAGCUACAUCUGAUGGUUCCCCUCCGUUACUGCUGUCAUCUCAACAUCCCGCUCCCAGUCUGCAGAGCUCACC